GAUGAACGCUGGCGGCGUGCCUAAUACAUGCAAGUCGAGCGAACAGAUGAGGAGCUUGCUCCUCUGACGUUAGCGGCGGACGGGUGAGUAACACGUGGAUAACCUACCUAUAAGACUGGGAUAACUUCGGGAAACCGGAGCUAAUACCGGAUAAUAUAUUGAACCGCAUGGUUCAAUAGUGAAAGACGGUUUUGCUGCCACUUAUAGAUGGAUCCGCGCCGCAUUAGCUAGUUGGUAAGGUAACGGCUUACCAAGGCAACGAUGCGUAGCCGACCUGAGAGGGUGAUCGGCCACACUGGAACGGAGACACGGUCCAGACUCCUACGGGAGGCAGCAGUAGGGAAUCUUCCGCAAUGGGCGAAAGCCUGACGGAGCAACGCCGCGUGAGUGAUGAAGGUCUUCGGAUCGUAAAACUCUGUUAUUAGGGAAGAACAAAUGUGUAAGUAACUAUGCACGUCUUGACGGUACCUAAUCAGAAAGCCACGGCUAACUACGUG
rnacentral:rRNA from 1 species